rnacentral:lncRNA from 1 species
ACAGAAGCGGAACGCGCGUCGAGAGCGCCCUGUCCGCUCGCCCCAGACAGAUGCCCGGUUAUUCAUUACCGCGAGGCCUAGAGGAAAGAGUGGCUGCCGUCUUCCUGCCCACAGCCCGCCGGACCCUCCGUCGCGGCUGCCCGGUCCCCGGAGCCGCAGCCGCCGAGCCCGGCUGUGCGUGUCGUGGCUGCUGGGGAGAAAGAGGCUUCCGGAAGCCCCAGAGAGAUUGGUGAGGGUGAUUUCCCAGGAAGACGCAGUGUGCUCUGACUUCUGUGACAGUGAGCAACGGGACCAGUGGAUGUCCAGAUGCUGGCAAUGAGACAUGCUCUGGAGUCAGAAGACAGCGAAAAGAGAAGCAGAAGCCCCGGUGGCAAGAGUCUGAAGCUGGAAAGGAGGAGAACAUGAAACAUUGCUUGAAGACAAUGGCCGAGACAGCAGGUCCCACCCUGCACAGCCACCAGCAUCUCUCCCCUCAGCCCUGUCUCCUCUUCUGCAGUUGGGAUCUGCACAUUUAAGCCUGAAAUUGUCCUGUGAAGUGAAGUAUGAUCGGACAGCCUCUUUUCAGCUUUUAUGACAAUGGAGACAGAGGAAUUGUGGCUCUUGCCAAGGUCACAGGAUUGGAAUACAGAGCCAAGCCACCCCAGGACAUGCAAGAGCCUCAGAAGGGAAAAAAGCCCAGCAGGAAGGGAGAACAAGUAGCCUCUGUCCUGAAGUUGUAACAGCCAGGGGCCAGGAUGGAGGAGGAGGACCCCAUAAUCUGCCCAUCUGGGACUUGGCAGGGGACCUGGGAAAAUGUACCCCAACCCAUCCCUUAAGGGCCUUUGUCUUUGGCCCAUUGGCCUAGCAUCUACUUCUUCACCGUGUCUGUUCUUGUCACACCUAGUCAGGUCUGUUUGGGUCUGAGGUGCAUGGAACAUUCUGGGUAGGCCUCCAGCAAACGGAAGCUCUUCACCGUGUUUCCAGCCUGGGACCAAGGGCAGCAUACUGGCAAAGUUGCCAAAGCAAGGGACUCCAGCCUCUUAGGAGUUAAUGACUCCCUCUCCCCAGCUGUCCUCCCCUUGGUGCUCCUCUUCCUCCCUCCUCCUGCUCACAGCAGGCAGGGCCUAGACCCGGGAGCCAUGCUGCUGUGCUGUUGCCAGGGGAGCACGGAGGCAGAUCUGAGCUAUGCAGGGAAAAGGCCCAGCCUGUCAAAGUGUCUGAGAUGAACCGCCGCCGUCCCUGUGCAGCUGGGCUCAGACGUGUCUCAGCUCUUGUUCUGUGCCUGAGAAUGGCGAAACCCAGUGAGGUUCAAGGGCAAACUCGCUAUUCAUUAGUCAGGGGUUCUUGACGUCCCGUCUCUCCCAGGGAUGAGUUCCCCCCUCCUCUUUCUCCCCCUCCUAUGACACAUUCCUGGGUGCCUUUGGUGAGGACUGCACACCCUCCUCCUGCCUAGCCCCCUCUCCAAAGGCCCCUGAAUAAACUCCCCCCAAGGAGACCAGGCAGGGCAGAGACAAUGGCUGCAGGAAAUCAUUCAGGCGGGACAUGCUGGCCUGCCCUCCACCCAGUCCCCCUGUGGGCCCCACUCCCUUCUGAUUCAGGGCACCCUUGGGCCCCCAGCCUAUACAGGCCUGGACAGGAAGAAACCACUGGGAACCACCCUAAGGACAACAUGCUAGUCCAGUGCCAUUCUUCGCUGGCUCUGUGGGUGCCUUUGUGGCCUGUACCGACUGGCUGGCUAAUUUUGUGGUUUCUGUACCAUCACAUGCCUAUUUUAAGACACUCUCCAGCACUGUCGGUUAGGGAGUGUAAAUUUUGCAAUAUUUUCUGAAAUGUGGCAAUAUCAAAAUGUAAAAGGCACACAUACUUGGUCACAAACAAAUGGCACUAUUUACUCUGUGGGCAUAUUUGUAAAAGUUGCCAAAGAAUUAUAUACAAGGAUGUUCAUCAGAGCAUUUCUUUUGAAGAGUAAAGAAAUGGACAUGAACCUGUGGUCCGUUCAUACGGUGGAAUACCUAUGCAGCUGUAAAAAUCAGUGUGGUAGAUCUCCGUAUAUGAGUUGAUGUGGAAGGUUGGCCAGUUCACAUGAUAAGGUGAAUAGAAUAAGUUACAGAACAGGCUGUAGAGUAUGAUCUUAUUUGUAGAUGUUUAAAACUGAGUCAUAAGUAUGCUUAUAUACAGAUCGUUUCUGGAAGUAUGUACUGGAAGUCUACCUCUGGGGAGUGGGGAUGGGGGAGUGCACUCUUCUAUACUGUUAUAUUUUCUUUUCAUGCUCCUAAGGUACUUUUAUUGGAAGAUGUAAAGCGGUUCAAUGUAAUAGGCUUAACUUCUGUCAACUAAGUUGGCGUGGGUGCUUUAAGAGGGUGGUAGUGAUGUUGCUGGAGAAAGUAUCCCACAGUCACUGGUGGCUUCAGCCACGGGCCAUUUUGGGGCCUAAUAAUCACAUAUCAUCAUGGUUGCUAGUGUUAAUCGAAAACCUACUAAGUGCCAGGCUUACUGUCUCUGGGUCUUGCUUACGUGGAUGUCAUUUUUCCAGUUGCACCAAAUCGAAAGAGGUUAAUUGGUUUGUUGGAGUUCCUUUGUAGGUGAAGGGCAGAGCCAGGAGCUUGGCUAGGGACAGGGGAGGUGAGUGGGGGAUGGUGGAUAGGUCUUGGCUCCCAGUUUCCUUCUGGGCAGACAUUGCCCCUCUGCCCUGAGGACCUGCUUGUUUGGGGGAAGAGGCCUUUAGAGGCACCAGGGUCAUGCCAGGUGUUGGACAUGGUGAACUGGGAAGUGCUCCCAUCUGGCCACAGCGCAGAAGUAUCACCGUGCUGGGGGAUGGGGAACAGGGCUGUGAAUGGGCCUAUUUGCAUAAGCAGCAUGUGUCUGGAGAGAAAGACAUCACAGAGCAGAAGAGUGCGGGUGCCCAGGAGUGCACUUGCCACCCCUACUUCAUCCCUGAAAGAGUAAAUGGCCUGGAAGGUGUCUCUGAGAGGUAAUGCCGCACACCACCCUCCCUGGGGGCAGGGUCAGGCUACACCUGCCUUAGGUCGGGGGCUGCAGCAGCCUGAGAGCUCUCAGUAGGGCCUCAGUAGCCUGGGAGGGAGCAGGGGCAGGGGGCAGGGAAAGAGGCGUAAUGGGGCUGUCCAGAGGGGCCUGGGAAACCUGGUCCCUGAGGCCUGGGCACAGCUACAAUCACUUCAAAUUGGCUGUGGGGCCAGUGGACUGGGAAGGAAAAAAGCAAUAAGAGUGACCAAGUGCAGAAGGCUGUCAGGUCCCAGGUCACAUGCCUUAGUGCAGUGACUCCUCAUCAUUUUAUGGGGUGUGGGUGUCGUUGGUACACCCAUUUUACAGAUGAGGACACCGAGGCCCAGAAAAGUUAAGUUACAUGUCCUAAGUCACACAGCUUGUAAGUGCCAGAACUGAGAUCAAAACCAAGUCUCUUUGACUUUAAAGUCUGUACUCUGACCCCAAAGAGAUCCUGUUUGGCCACUUAUAGGAGGUCCCUAAAGCUGCAGACUCCCCUUGCCGGCACCCACAUAUAGAGACAUUAACCCUUCCCCUGCAGGGUCACCUCAAAUAGUCUUUUAGCUGGGCUUCUCCUGCAAUUCCACCUAAUGCCAUCCCCUGGGUUUUGCCCAAACCUGAACUGGGCAGUGGGGUGAGAGGAGGGGUUUACAGGGUUACAGAGCCUCAUACAGAUAGGAGCCCAUGGCUGCUGGUCAUCUGCAUUCCUGCAGGAUUGGCUGUUCCUUGGGGUCCUUGGCAGGAAAAUGAGGAUUGCUCCGAGGCCUGCUCCAGUACUUCCCAGAGGCUGGCCUGGUGUGGGGCUCUGGGAAGGCUGAGGCUGGAGAAGCGUAAGUAGGAGGGCAGAGAUGGCACUCAGGUAGCUUGAAUCACCAGGACCCUUCCAAGCCCCACAGGUUCUGAGGGAGUACUAGGGCCAGCUCUGGGAGAGGUCUCUUCCUAUGCUGUGAACCCCCUGCCUUUCUUGCAGCCUACAACGAAUAAAUUUUCUUUGCAAAGG